rnacentral:rRNA from 1 species
AUUGAACGCUGGCGGAAUGCUUUACACAUGCAAGUCGAACGGCAGCACGGGGCAACCUGGUGGCGAGUGGCGAACGGGUGAGUAAUACAUCGGAACGUGCCCAAUCGUGGGGGAUAACGUAGCGAAAGUUACGCUAAUACCGCAUACGAUCUACGGAUGAAAGCGGGGGAUCGCAAGACCUCGCGCGAAUGGAGCGGCCGAUGUCAGAUUAGGUAGUUGGUGGGGUAAAGGCUCACCAAGCCAACGAUCUGUAGCUGGUCUGAGAGGACGACCAGCCACACUGGAACUGAGACACGGUCCAGACUCCUACGGGAGGCAGCAGUGGGGAAUCUUGCGCAAUGGACGAAAGUCUGACGCAGCGACGCCGCGUGGGUGAAGAAGGCC